rnacentral:rRNA from 1 species
UACGUAGGGCGCGAGCGUUGUCCGGAUUUAUUGGGCGUAAAGAGCUCGUAGGCGGCUUGUCGCGUCGAAUGUGAAAUCUCAGGGCUCAACUCUGACAUUGCAUUCGAUACGGGCAGGCUAGAGUCCGGAAGAGGCGAGUGGAAUUCCCAGUGUAGCGGUGAAAUGCGCAGAUAUCGGGAAGAACACCCGUGGCGAAGGCGGCUCUCUGGGACGGUACUGACGCUGAGACGCGAAAGCGUGGGGAGCGAACAGG